rnacentral:misc_RNA from 1 species
GGAACUGUUUUAUUAGUCCCCUACCUGUAAAACUUUUUUGUUUGGGUUAGGUUUGAUUUUAAUCUUCCGGUGUAAUUUCAUAAUGAUGCCCUACAAAUUAAGUUUGAUAUUUUUUACUUUUAAUCAACAGUAACUAUUUCUUGGAAUAUUCUUAUUAUUAUUCUUAUUUACGAUUGGUUAGUGAUGUACCCGAUCAGUAUUCCAAUUAGUUAAGGUGAGAAAAGAGAAUACGGGAUUUAUCAUGCAGAUGCCACUGUACCAUUCUCUCCAACACAGCAAUUAUCACUGAUCGAGUUUGAUUUUUGUUACUUUUAUUACGAGGUGUUAUAGUUAUAAAGUUUGAAAAUCUUUAGUAUUUGUGAUUGUGUUUGUCCAAAUUUUAUAUUUCCUGAUGCACAUCUUCGAGUAUAAGGUCUCUCUGUAAGACCAUACGUUUGAUGUUCAAACAACCUGGAUGCGGGGGAUAUGAGAGGCAUUGUACCCUUAUGUACUUUUGAUAAAUCUUAUUUUACUAAAUGCCAAUCAUAUUUCCGUAAAAAUGAGUAUAUCAAAUUAAACAAAAUUUAUUUAGCUUUUCAUGAUGAUUUCUGGCAUUUUUCCCCAACCCUUUUAACCUGUACGCUUUAGAACAGAAAACAUUAGGGCAAUGACAUAAAUCUAUUCAUUUAAUGUAUGUCUGUAGGUCAAAUGGUUGAAAAGGAGUAAUUUAAGUAGCUUUCAUUCCGAGUUUACGCCCCAUUAAUAUGUUUAUAUAUAUUGUAUCAUUGCGUGUAAAUCAUUUAAUCAGCUAUAUGUUAAGAUUUUAAUGUAGGCUACAUCGUAUUGUCCAUGUCUCAAUACAGGUCCAGCAUAAGAAAUAGACUCUGGUUUUCAGUCUUAUUAAUUUCAAAUGCGCAAAUUUUGGACGUGUUUAUUGUAAAGAAAGAUAUGGUUUGAGUCCGUCCUUUUGACGUUUUCUUUUAUUGUACACUGUUUGAUCAAUUAAACAACUUCUAUUGUUUUAAAUGAAUGGAUUCAAAUGGAUAAAAAAAUGUACAAAGUGUAUUAAAACAUUAUCAAA